UUAAUUGAAACCAAAAAGAGGUAUAUUACUGUUAAUAAUAUUAUUAUAAUUAUAUCAAUUAUU
rnacentral:tRNA from 1 species